UCCCGAACCACGACUUUCUGCAGUGAAAGCGAGGCCAUGGUCACAAACACCACCGUUUCAAGUUGUGAUGGACUGCUACAGUUCACUCGCCUGAUACCUAGAUAUACACGCACAGUUUUAUCUGAAAACUGAGACACGAGUUUUCGUUAUCCGAGAGCUUCGAAAAUCCGCCGAAGUGGCUAGACGCAGUUGGAUCUUCAGAAACAAAACUGACCCCCAAGGUGGAUUCUAAAGGUGACAGUGCAUUGAAGCGUACCGCUCCGCAUUGAACUCACAAUCGUCGCACUUCGGCGCAUUGCGACUGUUUCGUAGACGUGCUAAGAGUUUUUGUCGCAAGCCUUAGAAUGGGUUUGAAUUUCAGGGAAUUGGUAGAACACGAGAGCGGUGAGGAAUACAAGGCAUAUCUCCGUAGUCGACUUAAAUGCAUGCAACCCUCAGGCACCAGAAUCCUGAUUGCAGAACCAUCAAGAAUUGUACACGCUGAUGAUUACAGCGUCGCCUGAAGAAGCUCGCAAUACUUGAGCGUUGUUACAGAAACUGGUGAUCUGAAUGUGAUAUAGAAUUUGUUAGGUGACAAGAUUUAUCAGCUGCAUCGUGAACCUACUCGCCUGGAUUUCAUGUAUACUUGCAGAAUAUAUAAACUUCCAUAGCUGCGUCACAACAAGCUUGUGGAGGAGACGUUAGCAUUCCAACAUUCUUGAAAUUUCUCAUGGCAUGUGUGAGUUGAUCAAAGCUUGAUGAAGAAAAUCAGUUUGCUCAUACUGAAGCAAGUAUACACCUUGUGAUAAAUCAGAUGGGCUUCUACAUCCAUUUCUCAAGUGGGUCUUAAUUGAUAGUUUGUAUUAGGAGUGUUUAAGUUUCAAUUGAAAAAGCUCCACUUUUGUUACCUGCAGACUGUUUAUUACUGUUUGAAUCAUAAUUUUUAAUAGAUGUCUCAAAAAGCAAUUUUUUUAUUUGAUAGUCG
rnacentral:lncRNA from 1 species